rnacentral:rRNA from 1 species
UAACACAUGCAAGUCGAGCGGAGUGAUGGUGCUUGCACUAUCACUUAGCGGCGGACGGGUGAGUAAUGCUUAGGAAUCUGCCUAUUAGUGGGGGACAACAUCUCGAAAGGGAUGCUAAUACCGCAUACGUCCUACGGGAGAAAGCAGGGGAUCACUUGUGACCUUGCGCUAAUAGAUGAGCCUAAGUCGGAUUAGCUAGUUGGUGGGGUAAAGGCCUACCAAGGCGACGAUCUGUAGCGGGUCUGAGAGGAUGAUCCGCCACACUGGGACUGAGACACGGCCCAGACUCCUACGGGAGGCAGCAGUGGGGAAUAUUGGACAAUGGGGGGAACCCUGAUCCAGCCAUGCCGCGUGUGUGAAGAAGGCCUUAUGGUUGUAAAGCACUUUAAGCGAGGAGGAGGCUCUUUUGGUUAAUACCCAAGAUGAGUGGACGUUACUCGCAGAAUAAGCACCGGCUAACUCUGUGCCAGCAGCCGCGGUAAUACAGAGGGUGCAAGCGUUAAUCGGAUUUACUGGGCGUAAAGCGCGCGUAGGCGGCCAAUUAAGUCAAAUGUGAAAUCCCCGAGCUUAACUUGGGAAUUGCAUUCGAUACUGGUUGGCUAGAGUGUGGGAGAGGAUGGUAGAAUUCCAGGUGUAGCGGUGAAAUGCGUAGAGAUCUGGAGGAAUACCGAUGGCGAAGGCAGCCAUCUGGCCUAACACUGACGCUGAGGUGCGAAAGCAUGGGGAGCAAACAGGAUUAGAUAC